AUUGAACGCUGGCGGCAGGCCUAACACAUGCAAGUCGAACGAAGCCUUCGGGCUUAGUGGCGGACGGGUGAGUAACACGUGGGAACGUACCUUUUGGUUCGGAACAACUCAGGGAAACUUGAGCUAAUACCGGAUGAGCCCUUAGGGGGAAAGAUUUAUCGCCGAAAGAGCGGCCCGCGUUAGAUUAGCUAGUUGGUGAGGUAAAGGCUCACCAAGGCUACGAUCUAUAGCUGGUCUGAGAGGAUGAUCAGCCACACUGGGACUGAGACACGGCCCAGACUCCUACGGGAGGCAGCAGUGGGGAAUCUUGCGCAAUGGGCGAAAGCCUGACGCAGCCAUGCCGCGUGAAUGAUGAAGGUCUUAGGAUUGUAAAAUUCUUUUACCAGGGACGAUAAUGACGGUACCUGGAGAAAAAGCCCCGGCUAACUUCGUGCCAGCCGCCGCAGUAAGAC
rnacentral:rRNA from 1 species